CGCCGCUCCUUCUCCUCCGCCGCCGCCUCCCGACAGCCGCCGCCGCCGCCGUCCGAACUUGAAGUUGCCGGCGCGCCCGUGGCCGCCGCAGCCACCGCCGCAGCGGAGGUCGCAGCUGCCGCUGGGGGCCCUUUCUCGGCGCUCUUGUCCCCGGGGUAGUCGGAGGAGGCGAGGUUUUCCGGGGUGCCGUAGGCCGUCUCGAAAAACUGGUCAAAAGCCUGUGGCAGAACACCGUUCCUGCCCACCGUGCUAUAGAAAUUGGACGAGACGGCGGGGGUGGGGUGGUGGUAGACGUUGGCCGAGCUCUUGGCCAGCACGUCGCCAGGCACGCCGGCCGCGCUGGGCGCCUGCAGACAGUCUCUGUGCACGAGCUCCUCCGCGGAGUAGCAGUGGGCCAGAUUGCCGCGGGGGUGCCAUUUAGUGGCGGGCUCAAUGGCGUACUCUCUGAAGGUCACUUCGCGCACGGGUUGGACUUGGGGCAGGUUGGAGGAGUAGGAGUAUGUCAUUGGGCGCGAAGACGGGGUCUGGGGCAAAAAAGAAGGGAGGCUGGAAAAAUCUGGACCCGAGACGUAGGGUUCGGAGUGACUCCGCAGAGCCAGAGGCGCUGGGACUGCGCUUCUGCUCACCGGUCCGCAAGCUGUUCUGUCUCCUGAAGCUGACGAAUCGGAAACCAUGCAAUUGAGGCGAACCUUGGGCUGUUUUAGAGGCGCUGACAUCCGAGGAGCCUUCUCCUGGGAGGCCGAAGGUCGAUCUGAGCCCACCAGACUCUGGGAAAGACCGGGCUAGGUAUAAGACCACACCGGAAGGCCAAGUCCGAGUUCCAUUCCUAGAAGAGGCGGCUGCCGGCAAGGCUGUGACAUUGGCCCUGGACAUUGGUUUAGCAGGAGCUGUUCUUUCUCAAGAACUCCACAGCGAGCGGGCCGUCUCCAGAAAACACUCCUCAACGUUUAUUUCCUUUAAUCGUCAACCCGGAGCCCUACGGCGGCUAAUGCAAGAGGCCAAAAAUGUUUGGAGGAAGAAAAACAAAGGCAGGAAGUGGCCGCGGCCUGACGGUGCGUGUGUCUCUAAAGAAGGGAGGGAGCCGGUUCAAUCUCCUCUUGUUUUUCCGAACUUCAAGGUCUAGGCAGACCCCCUUAGCGCUUAGCCAAGGCUCUCGGCCCAGAGAUUGGAGGUAGCCAACAAGUUAACCUUGUCGAACUGAAAGGCUAAGAAGGAAACUUGAUCAGCAAAACACACCUACCAAGCCUUUUGGAGGUUUCUUCUGAUUGUGUCCCGAAAGGGUGGGGGUUGUAUUGAUAUCCACAAAGGCUGCUGUUUUCCUUCCGUCGGGCUUGGUCGGGCUUAAAUGCAUCAUGAACGGAGGAGGGCGAUUCAGGCACCAUUCGCUCCACUCUCCUUCUCGAGGUAGAAUACCAGAAAUAAAGUGUGUCCAGGUGCUUCUGCU